AAAAAGCAUCAGACAGGCUGGGGCACCAAGAUGGAGUCACAGACCCAGUUCUUCAUAUUCCUGCUCCUCUGGAUGUCUGGUGCUGAGGGGAACAUUGUGAUGACUCAGUCUCCCAAAGUUAUGUCCACAUCUGUUGGAGACAGGAUCACCCUAAGCUGCAAGUCCAGUCAGAGUGUGGGUAGCUAUGUAAAUUGGUACCAACAGACACCAGGGCAGCCUCCUAAACUGCUAAUCUACUAUGCAUCCAAUCGAUACACUGGAGUCCCUGAUUGCUUCACAGGGAGUGGAUCUGGGACAGAUUUCACUCUCAGCAUCAGCAGUGUGCAGGCUGAAGACCUGGCAGUUUAUUACUGUCUGCAGUAUGACAGCUAUCCUCCCACAGUGCUUCAUCCUCCAACACAAACCUCCUUGAGAGUCUCGCCAGCUGCCUACAGCACACACAGCCCUUGGCCUGCACACUUCCCCCUUCUGCCUGAGAUCUGCUAUGCAUGA